GAUGAACGCUAGCUACAGGCUUAACACAUGCAAGUCGAGGGGAAACGACAUCGAAAGCUUGCUUUUGAUGGGCGUCGACCGGCGCACGGGUGAGUAACGCGUAUCCAACCUGCCCAUCACUUGGGGAUAACCUUGCGAAAGUAAGACUAAUACCCAAUGACGUCUCUAGAAGACAUCUGAAAGAGAUUAAAGAUUUAUCGGUGAUGGAUGGGGAUGCGUCUGAUUAGCUUGUUGGCGGGGUAACGGCCCACCAAGGCUACGAUCAGUAGGGGUUCUGAGAGGAAGGUCCCCCACAUUGGAACUGAGACACGGUCCAAACUCCUACGGGAGGCAGCAGUGAGGAAUAUUGGUCAAUGGACGAGAGUCUGAACCAGCCAAGUAGCGUGCAGGAAGACGGCCCUAUGGGUUGUAAACUGCUUUUAUAAGGGAAUAAAGUGAGUCUCGUGAGACUUUUUGCAUGUACCUUAUGAAUAAGGACCGGCUAAUUCCGUGCCAGCAGCCGCGGUAA
rnacentral:rRNA from 1 species